GCCCGCUCUCGGUUCCGUUCCCCACCAGAGCUCCCUGCAGAUCCGCGCUCUGCACCGCGGUUUCGCUGAGCCCAGCGCGCUGCACUUCGACACCAUCAGGGUGCUGGGGCAGAGCGGCGCCGUGCAGCAGCUCCGCGUCUACGAGAACGGAGCUCAGCUGCCAUCGCAGCACGUCCUGCUGUACGACAGCGCGACGCAGGUCCUUUUGGUCACGCAGCUUGCACUGGAGUUAGGCAGGGAUUACACGCUGGAGUGGAGCUGAGCCUGCAGAUGUUGCUGCUUCAGAACCACACCAGUCCCUCACCUCCCCUCCUUGCGACCCCAAAUCCUCUUCCUGUUCUCCUUCUCUCAGAUUUGUGUAAUAUAUUUUAAUUGUGCAAAG